rfam:Eutrema salsugineum unplaced genomic scaffold scaffold_4, whole genome shotgun sequence.
AAUCCAUGGUGAGGGCAUUGCAUGGUAUACCCUCUAAAUCUUUCCCAAGCCUCACAAAACGAUUCAUGGUUCUUCUGAAUGAAACUUGAGAUUUCAUUUCGUAACCUU